rnacentral:rRNA from 1 species
UACGUAGGGGGCUAGCGUUGUCCGGAAUCAUUGGGCGUAAAGCGCGCGUAGGCGGCCCGGUAAGUCCGCUGUGAAAGUCAAAGGCUCAACCUUUGAAUGUCAGCGGAUACUGCCGGGCUAGAGUCCGGAAGAGGCGAGUGGAAUUCCUGGUGUAGCGGUGGAAUGCGCAGAUAUCAGGAGGAACACCGAUGGCGAAGGCAGGUCUCUGGGCCAUAACUGACGCUGAGAAGCGAAAGCAUGGGGAGCGAACAGG